rnacentral:lncRNA from 1 species
UGGUGACGUCAUAAAGCGAUGCCCGCAGGCGGCAGGGGGUGGGGCGAGGGCAGCCGGGGAGACUGGAGAAGCCUACUCUGUGCGGUGGAGCGACCCUGGAUAACAGCUCCAGGGACACUCCUUGCUCAAGACGCUGGGGUUAGACGUGCUCCGGCUACACAGCGGAGUGUCAGGGGGCCAAGAAUAUCCCUCUCCUUUUUCUUCCCUCCUGCUGGCUUUGGUUGCUUUCCUAAACAUUGCCCCGGACGGCAAAGUCGGCUUCACUCUUAGCCCUUGUUAGGGAAACGCUGGAUCCAAGAUUAGCUGCGCCCUUCUUUGCUUCAGUUGAACAAGCACCAGAGUCGCUGAUUUGGCAGUGUCGGAGCGGGAGGAACUGGUCUUAAAAAGAAAUAUGAGGGAAAAUAUUCACAGAAGCAACUAAUCUAGAGUCACCUUGCUUCGCUAUAUAAAGUCCCUUGGUGACAGCUGGACUAACUUCC